GGACACUUUGACUGGAUGAAUGCGUUUCUAGACCAUGUUCAUGUUGAACUAUUCAUGACUAGAUCCACAUUCAUCCAGACAGCCAA
ncrna:Tetranychus urticae (two-spotted spider mite) microRNA tur-mir-279 precursor